GGACCCGCACAAGUAGUGGAGCAUGUGGUUUAAUUCGAAGAUACGCGCAGAACCUUACCAACACUUGACAUGUUCGUCGCGACUUUAAGAGAUUAAAGUUUUCGGUUCGGCCGGACGAAACACAGGUGCUGCAUGGCUGUCGUCAGCUCGUGUCGUGAGAUGUUGGGUUAAGUCCCGCAACGAGCGCAACCCUCACUUUUAGUUGCCAUCAUUAAGUUGGGCACUCUGAAAGAACUGCCAGUGAUAAGCUGGAGGAAGGUGGGGAUGACGUCAAGUCCUCAUGGCCCUUACGUGUUGGGCUACACACGUGCUACAAUGGUAUCUACAACAGGAAGCAAGACGGCGACGUUAAGCAAAUCCUAAAAAGAUACCUCAGUUCGGAUUGCACUCUGCAACUCGAGUGCAUGAAGUUGGAAUUACUAGUAAUCGU
rnacentral:rRNA from 1 species